rnacentral:rRNA from 1 species
CAGCAGCCGCGGGAAUACGAAGGGGGCUAGCGUUGCUCGGAAUGACUGGGCGUAAAGGGCGCGUAGGCGGCGAUCAAAGUCAGGCGUGAAAUUCCUGGGCUCAACCUGGGGGCUGCGUUUGAUACUUGAUUGCUAGAGUGGGGAAGAGGGUCGUGGAAUUCCCAGUGUAGAGGUGAAAUUCGUAGAUAUUGGGAAGAACACCGGUGGCGAAGGCGGCGACCUGGUCCUUGACUGACGCUGAGGCGCGAAAGCGUGGGGAGCAAACAGGAUUAGAUACCCGGGUAGUCCCUGUCUCUUAUAC